AACGAACGCUGGCGGCGUGGAUUAGGCAUGCAAGUCGUGCGCGAAAGGGUCCUUCGGGGCCUGAGUAGAGCGGCGAACUGGUGAGUACAAGGUGACUAACGUGCCCUCGGGUGGGGGAUA
rnacentral:rRNA from 1 species